ACGAACGUUGGCGGCAUGGAUCAGGCAUGCAAGUCGAACGAAUCCCGUGGGGGUAACUCUGCGGGGGAAGUGGCGAAAGGGGCAGUAAGGCAUGGGUAACCUGCCCCGGACUUCGGGAUAGCCGUCCUAACGGACGGAUAAUACCGAAUGCCGUGACUGGGGGGCAUCCUUCGGUCACGAAAGCUCCGGCGGUCCGGGAGGGGCUCAUGUAGUAUUAGCUAGUUGGUGGGGUGAUGGCCCACCAAGGCGAAGAUGCUUAGCAGGUGUGAGAGCACGACCUGCGCCACUGGCACUGGGACACUGGCCAGACUCCUACGGGAGGCUGCAGUCGAGGAUCUUCGGCAAUGGGCGAAAGCCUGACCGAGCGAUGCCGCGUGUGCGAUGAAGGCCUUCGGGUUGUAAAGCACUGUCGUGGGGGAGAAAGCCCGCAAGGGUUGAUCGACCCCAGGAGGAAGCUCGGGCUAAGUUCGUGCCAGCAGCCGCGGUAAGACGAACCGAGCGAACGUUGUUCGGAAUCACUGGGCUUAAAGGGCGCGUAGGCGGGCGGUCAAGUCGAGGGUGAAAGCCCCCAGCUCAACUGGGGAAGUGCCUCCGAUACUGGCCGUCUCGAGGGGGAUAGGGGCGUGCGGAACUUCCGGUGGAGCGGUGAAUGCGUAGAUAUCGGAAGGAACAUCGGUGGCGAAAGCGGCGCGCUGGAUCCCUUCUGACGCUGAGGCGCGAAAGCCAGGGGAGCGAACGGGAUUAGAUACCCCGGUAGUCCUGGCCCUAAACGUUGGGUACUAGGUUGUGGGCUUACAUGGGUUCACAGCCGGAGCAAAAGUGUUAAGUACCCCGCCUGGGGAGUAUGGUCGCAAGGCUGAAACUCAAAGGAAUUGACGGGGGCUCACACAAGCGGUGGAGCAUGUGGCUUAAUUCGAGGCUACGCGAAGAACCUUAUCCUGGGCUUGACAUGUGCGAAAGCGGUAGGGGUAGCCGGUGGGAACAUCGGUGACGCCCGCAAGGGUAGUCCUACUACAGGUGCUGCAUGGCUGUCGUCAGCUCGUGUCGUGAGAUGUUCGGGUUAAGUCCCAUAACGAGCGCAACCCCUGUAUCCAGUUGCCAGCGGUUCAUGUCCGGGGCACUCUUGGAGGACUGCCGGUUGUACAAACGGAGGAAGGUGGGGAUGACGUCAAGUCCUCAUGGCCUUUAUGUCCAGGGCUAGCACACGUGCUACAAUGGCCGGUACACAGCGCGGCAAGCGAGGCGCAAGCGAGAGCCAAUCCCAAAAAUCCGUCCCAGUUCAGAUUGGAAGGCUGCAACUCGACUCAGUGAAGUUGGAAUCGCUAGUAAUCGCAGGAUCAGCAACCUGCGGUGAAUACGUGUUCCUGAGUCCUUGUACACACCGCCCGUCACAGCCACGAAAGAUCGGGGUGGACUAAGUCGCCGCGCCAACUCGCAAGAGGGGCAAGCGCCUAACCCUCAACGGUCAAUUGGGACU
rnacentral:rRNA from 1 species